rnacentral:rRNA from 1 species
GAUGAACGCUGGCGGCGUGCCUAAUACAUGCAAGUCGAGCGGACGGACGGGAAGCUUGCUUCUCUGAUGUUAACGGCGGACGGGAGAGUAACACGUGGAUAACCUACCUAUAAGACUGGGAUAACUUCGGGAAACAGGAGCUAAUACCGGCUACUAUUUUGAAUCAAAUGGAUCAAAAGUGAAAGACGGUCUUGCUGUCACUUAUCGAUGGAUACGCGCUGCAUUAGCUAGUUGGUAAGGUAACGGAGUACCAAGGCAACGAUGCAUGGCCGACCUGCGAGGGUGAUCGGCCGCCCUGGGACGGAGAUCCGCUCCAGGCUCCUAGGGGAGGGGGCCGUAGGGAAUCUGGCGCAAGGGGCGAAGGCCUGACGGAGCAAGGCCGCGUGAGUGAUGAAGGUAUUCGGUGCGUAAAACUCUGUUUUUAGGAAAGAACAGUUGUUUAAGUUACGGAGAACAACUUGACGGUACCUACUCAGAAAGCCACGGCUAACUACGUG